GAGGAAUCUUCCACAAUGGGCGAAAGCCUGAUGGAGCAACGCCGCGUGCAGGAUGAUGGCCUUCGGGUCGUAAACUGCUUUUAUAAGUGAAGAAUAUGACGGUAACUUAUGAAUAAGCACCGGCUAACUACGUGCCAGCAGCCGCGGUCAUACGUAGGGUGCAAGCAUUAUCCGGAGUGACUGGGCGUAAAGAGUUGCGUAGGUGGUUUGUUAAGCGAGUAGUGAAAUCAGGCGGCUCAACCGUUCUGGCUAUUACUCGAACUGGCAAACUCGAGAGUGGUAGAGGUAACUGGAAUUUCUUGUGUAGGAGUGAAAUCCGUAGAUAUAAGAAGGAACACCAAUGGCGUAGGCAGGUUACUGGACCAUUUCUGACACUAAGGCACGAAAGCGUGGGGAGCGAAC
rnacentral:rRNA from 1 species